CAAUAGCGUAUAUUUAAGUUGUUGCAGUUAAAAAGCUCGUAGUUGGAUUUCGGGUGUGAACGACCGGUCCGUCUUUGAUGUGUACUGGUUGGUUGCGCCUUAUUGUCGAGGACGUGGUUCUAGCUUUCAUUAGCCGGGACACGGAGUCGGCAGCGUUACUUUGAGAAAAUUAGAGUGUUCAAAGCAGGCUAUCGCUCUGAAUACUACAGCAUGGAAUAACACGAUAGGACUCCGAGCCUAUUCUGUUGGUCUUCGGGACCGGAGUAAUGAUUAAGAGGGACAGUUGGGGGCAUUCGUAUUCCGAUGUCAGAGGUGAAAUUCUUGGAUUAUCGGAAGACGAACAUCUGCGAAAGCAUUUACCAAGGAUGUUUUCAUUAA
rnacentral:rRNA from 1 species